ensembl:lncRNA
AUGGAGUAGGUUAUAGCUUCCUAAAACCCUCUAUAUUGACCAUGGAGUAGGUUAUAGCUUCCUAAAACCCUCUAUAUUGACCAUGGAGUAGGUUAUAGCUUCCUAAAACCCUCUAUAGUGACCGUGGAGUAGGUUAUAGCUUCCUAAAACCCUCUAUAUUGACCAUGGAGUAGAUUCUAGCUUCCUAAAACCCUCUAUAUUGACCAUGGAGUAGGUUAUAGCUUCCUAAAACCCUCUAUAGUGACCAUGGAGUAGGUUAUAGCUUCCUACAACCCUCUAUAUUGACCAUGGAGUAGAUUCUAGCUUCCUACAACCGCCUAAAAUCACUAGCAUGCGUUAUGUUUUGUUUUGUGUCACAUCUCUUGACUUUCUACCUGCGAUUUUAAACUAAAGGAAAGCAACUCGUCUAACAGAAGAAGCAAGUAUCAUGAAGCCACGAGCACAGAAGAUAAUGCAGUCGCAUGGCACAAAGGAGUAUUGUGUUGGCAUCCAGUGGCUGCGUCAAAACUGGAAUAUUUAAUAAUCAAUCCUCUAUUUGAAAUACAUUUUUAGAACUGAACUGAAUACAUAAAAAAUAAA